rnacentral:tRNA from 1 species
CCCGACUUAGCUAAGUGGUUACGGCGGGGGACUGUAGAUCCCUUUCUCCCCGGUUCGAGUCCGGGAGUCGGGACCA